rnacentral:rRNA from 1 species
UGGGGAAUCUUGCCCAAUGGGCGAAAGCCUGAGGCAGCAACGCCGCGUGUGGGAUGAAGGCCCUUGGGUUGUAAACCACUUUCAGCAGGGACGAAGAUGAUGGUACCUGCAGAAGAAGCCCCGGCCAACUACGUGCCAGCAGCCGCGGUAAGACGUAGGGGGCAAGCGUUGUCCGGAUUUAUUGGGCGUAAAGAGCUCGUAGGCGGCUCAGAAAGUCGGGUGUGAAACCUCCAGGCUCAACCUGGAGACGCCACCUGAUACUGCUGUGGCUAGAGUCCGGUAGGGGAGCACGGAAUUCACGGUGUAACGGUGAAAUGCUUAGAUAUCGGGGGGAACACCAGUGGCGAAGGCGGUGCUCUGGGCCGGAACUGACGCUGAGGAGCGAAAGCGUGGGUAGCAAACAGG